UACGGAGGGUGCAAGCGUUAUCCGGAUUUACUGGGUUUAAAGGGUGCGUAGGUGGGUAGGAAAGUCAGUGGUGAAAUCUUCGGGCUUAACCCGGAAACUGCCAUUGAUACUAUUUAUCUUGAAUACUUUGGAGGUAAGCGGAAUAUGUCAUGUAGCGGUGAAAUGCUUAGAUAUGACAUAGAACACCAAUUGCGAAGGCAGCUUACUACACAGUUAUUGACACUGAGGCACGAAAGCGUGGGGAGCGAGCCGG
rnacentral:rRNA from 1 species